rnacentral:lncRNA from 1 species
CUCACUAGAUGCCAUUUAUCAAUGUUUAUGUUACACAUUCAAUCGGUAGCUAAAAUAACUAUACAUUUGCAAAAAAAUGGGGUUGGAUAUAGUAUUUACCAAUAUUGACAGUAAGUAACAAAAACAUCAUGUCUUACAUCAUUGCCAUCUUUUUGGAAAUAUAAUCAAAUCGCCCCUUUAAAAGGUGUAAAGGUUCGCCUCACCCAUGAAGAGUACACUUGCAUACUCUUACUCUCAGCCAAAUCGUUGGAUAUAAGUGCAAAUCUACAACGAUACACCUAUGUAUACAUUAAAAUUACAAACAUACAAAACUCCAAGUAAAAUAGAAAUUUGAGAGACCCGUAUCAAAGCUCACACACAUCAAACGAAUAAAAAAAACAGCUGUCCGUUGCCUUGCUUGGCUCAGGCAUUUCUUGAUGAGAAAAUUGAGUUUAGAGUUAUGUUAACCGCUCACUUGUUUCAUAAACGAAAUAACAAGACCAGAAAUAAAAAAAUGACAACAGCAUAACAACAUACAUUUUGUAUUCGCGAGAUGCAUUAGUCUCCAGUUAAGUGGAAAAAAAUUGGCAAGGAAAGGAAAACUUAUCAUGUAAUGGCUAAUCAUUUACAAAGACAAAUACAACUACCCGUUCAACACGGUAUACAGAUGAUAAACAACGGCAAUGACUUGAAACUAUACUUAAAGACUCAAAGUAAAGUUGGUACGGAAGAUUUAUCAACACGGUCUUGGUAUAUUCGAAUGAACUUUUUAUUAAAGAAAAGACGAAACGUUAUUUGACAUAGCGCUGUCAUCAACUUUCUGCUCAGACAUUUGUGACAUUUUAUAAAGUAGGAGUACCACUGGCACAGAACAGAAGUUCCUAAUAUGUAUUCCAAAGAUAAUGUAUUAUGUAACAAAAAUUCCAAUUGGAAUUAAUAUUAUGUGAUAUAUAUUCCAUAAGCAUAAUAAAAGGAUUAAACUUUUAGAAUAGAGUGUAAAGAGG